AGCUGAGCUCAGCUUUGCAAUCCACUUCCUGUUAAAUUGUUAAAGACCUGUUGCCCUCAGGUCAAGAUGUAGGACUCUCAGCUCCGUCUCCAGCACCGUGUCUGCCUGCAGGCCACCAUGUCCCACCCUGAGGAUAAUGGACCAAACCUCUGAAACUUGUGAAAGGGUGUGAGCUUCAAUUAAUGUUUGGGAUUAUGAAGGUUUGGGAUUAUGAAGAUUAUGAAUGUGCAAAGUGUAGUGGGAAGGGCAGCUCUCUUGCUGCAGUGUACUGUGAGGAGCAAGGCCAUCUGCCCCUGGGCCAGUGAAGGGCAGGGCUCGCUCAGCAUGACCCUCUGAUUUCAUCACACAUGAGUCCUAUGGCUCCCUGAAGUGACAGGGGCCACAGACAUCAACACAGAUUGCACCUGCAGCAGAAUCAUAGAUCCCAGGUGCAGACCACUCAGAUCAGCUUGAGCCCAGAAGCUGUGUUCCCUCAGACACUAACAUAGCCCCAGAUCUCAGACAUCUGCAUGGCCUUUGAGUCAUGGGUGCCCACAGCAGCUCUAAUCUGGGAGUCUCCAAUUUCCAUUACUUAUCUUGACAUACAAAGAGAUUUUUGGAACAUUUAUACUUUAUUUAUAAAUGAAGAUUUUGAACUCCUAAAGGUUCAAUAGACUGGCUUAUUCAUUGUUGUAUUCAGAGCACAAAGCAUAAAAUUUGUGUUCAAUCAAUGCUAAACAAAUAUCCUCCAAUUAUACUUCUCAUUUACUGUCUAGACUGACUUACUCAAGUUGGUUGUAACAGAUUUUUUUGCUGAUGUUUCAUGCUAUUUAUGUUACUUAUUUUAUGUAUUUUAAAAUGUGUGUU